UNCCAUGUGUAGCGGUGAAAUGCGUAGAUAUAUGGAGGAACACCAGUGGCGAAAGCGGCUCUCUGGUCUGUCACUGACGCUGAGGCUCGAAAGCGUGGGUAGCGAACAGGAUUAGAUACCCUGGUAGUCCACGCCGUAAACGAUGAGUGCUAGGUGUUAGGCCCUUUCCGGGGCUUAGUGCCGGAGCUAACGCAAUAAGCACUCCGCCUGGGGAGUACGACCGCAAGGUUGAAACUCAAAGGAAUUGACGGGGGCCCGCACAAGCGGUGGAGCAUGUGGUUUAAUUCGAAGCAACGCGAAGAACCUUACCAGGUCUUGACAUCCCGAUGCUAUUCUUAGAGAUAGGAAGUUACUUCGGUACAUCGGAGACAGGUGGUGCAUGGUUGUCGUCAGCUCGUGUCGUGAGAUGUUGGGUUAAGUCCCGCAACGAGCGCAACCCUUAUUGUUAGUUGCCAUCAUUAAGUUGGGCACUCUAGCGAGACUGCCGGUAAUAAACCGGAGGAAGGUGGGGAUGACGUCAAAUCAUCAUGCCCCUUAUGACCUGGGCUACACACGUGCUACAAUGGUCGGUACAACGAGUUGCGAGCCGGUGACGGCAAGCUAAUCUCUGAAAGCCGAUCUCAGUUCGGAUUGGAGGCUGCAACUCGCCUCCAUGAAGUCGGAAUCGCUAGUAAUCGCGGAUCAGCACGCCGCGGUGAAUACGUUCCCGGGCCUUGUNC
rnacentral:rRNA from 1 species